rnacentral:rRNA from 1 species
GACGAACGCUGGCGGCGUGCUUAACACAUGCAAGUCGAACGGAAAGACCCUGCUUUUGUGGGGUGCUCGAGUGGCGAACGGGUGAGUAACACGUGAGUAACCUGCCCUUGACUUUGGGAUAACUUCAGGAAACUGGGGCUAAUACCGGAUAGGAGCUCCUGCUGCAUGGUGGGGGUUGGAAAGUUUCGGCGGUUGGGGAUGGACUCGCGGCUUAUCAGCUUGUUGGUGGGGUAGUGGCUUACCAAGGCUUUGACGGGUAGCCGGCCUGAGAGGGUGACCGGCCACAAUGGGACUGAGAUACGGCCCAGACUCCUACGGGAGGCAGCAGUGGGGAAUAUUGCACAAUGGGCGGAAGCCUGAUGCAGCAACGCCGCGUGCGGGAUGACGGCCUUCGGGUUGUAAACCGCUUUCGCCUGUGACGAAGCGUGAGUGACGGUAAUGGGUAAAGAAGCACCGGCUAACUACGUG